ensembl:lncRNA
AUGCGCUGCAUGGACUCUGGUCCAUGGCAAUGAAGUGAGGAGGCCUGGGGGGUUUAUGGCGGCGGUGGCUGGGGACCGGAGCCAGAAGUAGUGUGUCCGGCCCCCUCUCCUCCCGUGUGCGCCGCACCACCUCCUCCACCUCCUCCCGUCAUCUGUCCGUUUAGCUGUGAUGCGAUAAGACAGUCCCUCCUCACAAUCAGAGAUUGAGGGUACCAGACAGAUGCUGCGGUGAACUCCUCCUCCUUCUUUACUGUUCAGAGUUGGUUUGUUUAAAAAAACAACUAUGAAUGUCUAUAGCAGGUCUCUAUUCUUAGAUAGACUGUGAAUGAGUUGUUUAAUACACUGUUCUUGAUUCUAUGUUAAGUAAGUGAUUUUAUUCAGUGUUACACUGUGGAUGUUUUUCAUGUAUUUAAUUCAGUGUCUUUGGUUAUGGUAGAUCAGUUUAGUCAAUACUGAUUUUAAGAUUGUAUUUUUAUUCUUUCAAACAUGCAGUACAUUUUAAGCGUUGAUAAGUAAUACAAAUCUCCCUUUAUUAUUUGUUUCAAGGACAUGUAAUGUGUGUAUAAUGUGAUGUGAUAAUGUGAAUUUGUUUGUUUCUUUUAAAGUAGUAUACAAUAACUGUAAAAAGCUGUUAUCCUACAGUAACAUCGUAAUCCAAGACUGUAAAACUAAAUGAAACACAGAGAUUUACUGUUUUUUUUAAUGAAAUUGUUUAGUGUAAAUUACUCAGGGACAGCGGGUAUAGCUUUUCUAGCAGGAAACACACCGACCAAUUUCAUGCGUUAGGAAUCACCUCACGUGUUGCUGCUCAGCAAAUCAAAUAUGUAAAUUAACAUUAGCUUCCUGACUCGAGUAAGAUUAACACACACUGGGGAGACUAAGUCAGAGAAGUUAUCUCACCUGGUUUUCCCCAAAAUAAUAAAAGUUGUGAGUGAGACCAGAACCAUUAACCAAGAAUGUUCAGAGACUGUGGCAAUUAUUAAAAGUGAAUAUGUGAACGCCACAAUGAGAUAAAGCACAAAUAUUCUAUGCAAAUGUACCCACACACAUCUGAAAUAAAGGCACAAAACGUAAACCUAAAAAAAAGCAUAAUAUGAUCAGAAUCCUAACACAGUAAUUCACUGACCAGCAUGGAUGUUAACAGAGCGCUCCGAGGUCCUUGCCCUGACCCACAGUGGCGGAAGACUAAUAUGAACCCCAGAUUAACACGGUUAGUUGAUGGUGAAAAAAAUAGCUGGGUGUCGACCCGCCCCCAACACCGCCUAUGUGGUGAAGGUGCGAUUCACUUCAAAAUUCAUCGGGGGUGAAGGCUAAAGAGGAGUGAGGAGAUAGACAGAAACAAGAGAAAGGAAACCUCAGUGACACCGGCAUGCGAACUUCUCACACUGUGUGUAUGUCCUUACCUUGAGUGCAGUACAAGUCCAUUUAUUUCUGCGUGUGUAUCUGUCACACCGAGGCGUGGGGCGUUGUCUGCCACUCGAGGCCCCUGUCGUCGACUGCUGGCAUAUCCCAGAAUCCUAUUAGGAGCGAGUCACACUUGGGUGGCACAUUCACCAUGGGCCCUGCACAUUCAGAUUGCUGUUAUGAAUGUAAUUAGAGAGGAGCACAGAGGAGAUGUUCAGGGCACACACACACACACAGACACACACACAGACACAGUUAUGUCAGUGCACAAACACAUAUGUCUAAACACACACAUACACACAGAAUGUGUAUGCUGUAUAUUGUCGUGCUUAGAAAACAUAAUCACUCACAUGCUUAUGUGAACUGACAUGUACAGUGUAAAUGAAACUUUUCACGCAAAGGUUCUCCACCCUCGACUCCAUUUUUCUGACACACAAACAUGGUUUGUCGCACACCCACACACACCUAUCUUGUGAUGUCAGAGACUUCAUUUUCACCCCGUUGCUCAGCAUGUCUCGCCUCACCACUUCAAGUAAGGACCAUCCAGCUCAUUCGGGACCAGGCCAAACUAAAAAAAACAAUAAUAAUAGAUUUUUUUUUAGAUCCCAUGUUUUUUAUUGUAGUAUGUUCUCUUUUGAAUUCCAAUUUUUGUUGUUAUUCUUUUUCAUUCUUUUCCCUUUUGUUUGAGUUAAUAUAAUUAAUUAUUGCCCUGAAAUUACGUUUUUAAUUUGAAGUGACUCUGUAUAUGAAAGUGUUGCAUGGAUAAGAUUAUUAUAUUGUUCUCAGUAGAAAAAAAAUAAGCUCAUAACUGAGAACAACAGUCGGAACAUAUUGAAAGAUAGGCUGUAUAGAACAGUAUCAGCUGUAUCCUCUUAGCUAUUUCAUGAUGGUUGAUGACGUGUAGGUUAAUGUUCCAAUUUCAUUCUCAACUGCACUGCCAUAAACACAGAAUCUCAUGAUAGGCCUACUAACCCUAACCCCAUUUGUUCCAUUUCAUCUCUGAGACAAAGAUUUAAAUGUAUUAAAAUAAUAAUAAUAAAUAUUU